CUACUGUCAGCUAAAGAGAGAUGUGAUCCAUGCCCAAGAUGGUACCCUUCUCAGAGUGUCAUCACAGACUAUUCACUGACCAACACAGACCAACUGUAUGACCCAGCUAUUCCAUUCCUUAGUGGAAAUAUCCCAAGUGGAAUGAAAUAUAGCAUCACAUAAAAACUUGAAA